rnacentral:rRNA from 1 species
UACGGGGGGAGCAAGCGUUGUUCGGAUUUACUGGGCGUAAAGGGCGCGUAGGCGGCCACCGAAAGUCGAUUGUGAAAUCUCCGGGCUUAACUCGGAAAGGUCAACCGAUACUGCGGGGCUAGAGUGCAGAAGGGGCAACUGGAAUUCUCGGUGUAGCGGUGAAAUGCGUAGAUAUCGAGAGGAACACCUGCGGCGAAGGCGGGUUGCUGGGCUGACACUGACGCUGAUGUGCGAAAGCUAGGGGAGCGAACGGG